GAUGAACGCUGGCGGCGUGCUUAACACAUGCAAGUCGAGCGAGUGAGUUCUUCGGAACGAUCUAGCGGCGGACGGGUGAGUAACACGUGGGCAACCUGCCUCAUAGAGGGGAAUAGCCUCCCGAAAGGGAGAUUAAUACCGCAUAAAAUUAUCGAGUGGCAUCACACGAUGAUCAAAGGAGUAAUCCGCUAUGAGAUGGGCCCGCGGCGCAUUAGCUAGUUGGUGAGGUAACGGCUCACCAAGGCGACGAUGCGUAGCCGACCUGAGAGGGUGAUCGGCCACAUUGGGACUGAGACACGGCCCAGACUCCUACGGGAGGCAGCAGUGGGGAAUAUUGCACAAUGGGGGAAACCCUGAUGCAGCAACGCCGCGUGAGUGAUGAAGGUCUUCGGAUUGUAAAGCUCUGUCUUUGGGGACGAUAAUGACGGUACCCAAGGAGGAAGCCACGGCUAACUACGUGCCAGCCGCCGCCGUAA
rnacentral:rRNA from 1 species